CAUGCCUUUAUUUUUUUUCUUUUGAAGGCAAUUCAAGUUAUCAUUCCUAAAAACAUGAUAAAAAUGGAUGGGAUUCUUGAUGGAUUGUCCUAUACUUCCAUGAAAAUUCAGUGCUGAGUCCCCUGAUUCAGAAAAGCUCCAACACUGUAUGAGUGCAAGUCUUCUGUGUAGUCUGAGCCUAAGUCCUCUGUUUUGAGUCCAGUUAGGAAGACAAGCAGUCUUGCAGCCAGCCCUCUAGCAUCAGGAACCUGUGACUUUAUCCAUUUCUGCAUAAUCCUCAAGCCGCUUGGAAUGCUUCUGUGGAGAUGCUGUCAUACUCCUUGUGUAAAAACCUUCUUAAAAUGUUUGUUCUUCUGCAUCCUUCUGCUUCUGUAUUUCGAGGGAAUUUGCUGAAAGUGGUUUCCAUGGUUACAAGGACACGGUUGCUCUUGGAAUAAGAAAUCUGCAGAGAGCAAAUUCACAAAUCAACACAUGGAGCAAGGAAAAUGUGCUUUGUAUCCAUAAUGGCCAUUCCACACUAGGUGGCAGCUUAGCACCACGGGAUAUCUGUAUUUUGUAGUGUGCUUUUGUGAAGUUGUUGCUGCUGAAGACUUAAGCAACUACUGGCUGCGAUGGACAGGUUUCUGCUGGUCGGCCCUCUGCACGGUGUUACUACACUUCGAAUAUGAGGAUAGUUAUAAUUCAUUUGGAAGUUGGCUGCUCAUGUGCCAGAAGGUCAAGAUCAUAAAGCACUGGUCCCUUGGGUUAGUCUGUCUAAAGUUGAUACAUAGAGGAACAUGAUGGGAAACAGCUGGAGAAAAGAAGUCUGUUCUCAGGACUUUCUUGGUUGCUGAUCAAAUUCUGCACUUUCCUCCUUCACUGAGGCCAAGUCUCUUUGGACAAUGGACAAGCAAAGAGAUGAUCUGAGGGUCUGACAAUUUGCUAUCUUGAAGGAACAUUGUGUUUUCCAGCUGACCUAGCCUAAAAGACCUAGCCUUUUAUCCUCUAGCACAGGAAACAUGUAGCUUAAAAGUACUGUGGAUGUACUCUUACAGCUCUUUUCUUGAACUUGCCUUUUACUUGUAUAUACUGUAUAAAAACUAAAAAUUGACAAGUCAAAAGAUCAAAGCUGUUUUUAAAAAUAAAGCUUUUUUUCUAACUGAACCA
rnacentral:lncRNA from 1 species